GACGAACGCUGGCGGCGUGCUUAACACAUGCAAGUCGAACGGUAAGGCCCUUCGGGGUACACGAGUGGCGAACGGGUGAGUAACACGUGAGUGAUCUGCCCUGCACUUCGGGAUAAGCCUGGGAAACUGGGUCUAAUACCGGAUAGGACCACUGCCUGCAUGGGUGGUGGUGGAAAGCUUUUGCGGUGUGGGAUGGGCCCGCGGCCUAUCAGCUUGUUGGUGGGGUGAUGGCCUACCAAGGCGACGACGGGUAGCCGGCCGGAGAGGGUGACCGGCCACACUGGGACUGGGAUACGGCCCAGACUCCUGCGGGAGGCAGCAGUGGGGAAUAUUGCACAAUGGGCGCAAGCCUGAUGCAGCGACGCCGCGUGAGGGAUGACGGCCUUCGGGUUGUAAACCUCUUUCAGCACCGACGAAGCGCAAGUGACGGUAGGUGCAGAAGAAGGACCGGCCAACUACGUGCCAGCCGCCGCAGUAA
rnacentral:rRNA from 1 species